CCGUCACUUGAUGUACCGUCCGAUCAACGGUAGCUCAACAUCCAUUGACGGACAACUGAAUAUCAACGGCUGCCUUUUGAGCGGGUUGCCGCAGACCGAAACGGAGAAUCUCUCUGUCGGGCUGUGGUUAAUUUUCUGCACCCUUUUUGCAGCCGAACC
rnacentral:ncRNA from 1 species